rnacentral:rRNA from 1 species
AGAGUUUGAUCCUGGCUCAGGAUGAACGCUGGCGGCGUGCCUUAGGCAUGCAAGUCGAACGAAAAGUAGCAAUACUUUUAGUGGCAGACGGGUGAGUAACACGUAGGAAUCUACCCUUUGGUGAGGAAUAACGGUUCGAAAGGACCGCUAAUACCACAUAAGUCCGUAAGGAGAAAGACCGUAACUGGUCGCCGAUGGAGGAGCCUGCGUCCUAUCAGCUUGUUGGUGAGGUAAUGGCUCACCAAGGCUAUGACGGGUAGGGGGCGUGAGAGCGUGGCCCCCCACAAGGACACUGAGACACGGGUCCUACACCUACGGGUGGCAGCAACCGGGAAUAUUGCGCAAUGGAGGAAACUCUGACGCAGCGACGCCGCGUGCGGGAUGAAGGCCUUCGGGUUGUAAACCGCUGUGGAGAGGGAUGAAUUUUGACAGUACCUCUCUAGAAAGCACCUGCUAACUACGUGCCAGAAGCCUCGGCAAUACGUAGGGUGCAAGCGUUAUCCGGAUUUACUGGGCGUAAAGCGUCCGUAGGCGGUAUGGUAAGUGGUGGGUUAAAGACUCUGGCUCAACUAGAGGAAAGCUCGCCAAACUACCAAACUAGAGCUAGUUCGGGGAUACUGGAAUUCUCGGUGGAGGGGUGAAAUCCGUUGAUAUCGAGAAGAACGCCAAAGACGAAGGUAAGUAUCUAGAACUAUGCUGACGCUCAGGGACGAAAGCUAGGGUAGCAAACUGGAUUAGAGACCCAGGUAGUCCUAGCCGUAAACUAUGAACACUAGCUGGUUGGAUGAAUUUCUGACCGGCGCAAGCUAACGCGUUAAGUGUUCCGCCUGGGGAGUACGGCCGCAAGGCUAAAACUCAAAGGAAUUGACGGGGAAACGCACAACCGGCGUCCCAUGUGGUUUAAUUCGAAACGAAACGAAGAACCUUACCUAGGUUUGACAUCCCGAUCGUACGUCUUGGAAACAAGAUGGUCAGUUCGGCUGGAUCGGUGACAGCUGCUGCAUGGUUGUCGUCAGCUCGUGUCGUGAGGCGUCCUUUUAAGUAAGGUAACGAGCGCAACCCCUGUCGUAUGUUAAAUGUUCAUGCGAGACUGCCUUGGUGCAACCAAGGAGGAAGGAGGGGACGACGUCAAAUCAGCAUGGCGCUUACAUCUAGGGCUACACACAUGGGGUAAUGGCGAAUACAACGGGUCGCGAGGGAGUAAUCCGGAGCUAAUCCUUUAAAAUUCGCCUCAGUUCGGAUUGUGGGCUGCAAUUCGCCCACAUGAAGGGGAGUCGGUAGUAAUCGCAGGUCAGCUAUACUGCGGUGAAUACGUUCUCGUUUCUUGUACACACUGCCCGUCAAGUCAACAAAGUCAGCAGUGCCCGAAGUCGGAACCUCCUCGGAGGCCGCCUAAGGCAAGGUUGGCGAUGGGGGCUAAGUCGUAACAAGGUAGCCGUUCUGGAAGGAGCGGCUGGAUCACCU